GAUCCCUCCUCUGGAGUUUUGCAGUGAGCCUGGGAUGUGGUUCGGCAACAUAAGCAUAACUGCUAGGGCUUUCAUUUGACUUUCAGCGUCUGAUACAAUAUCUGGAUAGAGUUGUUACUGUUGAAGAUGUUGAAGAGCACUGGGCCCAAGAUGGACCACUGGUGGAUACCAUUUUUCACCAGCCUCAACCUGGACACAGGUUGGCUGACUACAACACUGGCUGCAACAAUUCAAUCAAUGCAUUACCUACUGUAUACGCCACUCUUUUAAAUUCAUAUAUUUCCAAUUUAGAUAUAAAAGUUAUUGAAUCAGAUUAAAAGAAAAUGCUGGUUUUUGUUUUUGUUGUUGUUUUUGUUGGUUUUUUUUCCUUAGAACAAAAACUCCAGCUCGCAUAACUCUUGCAAUCUGCCUAUCGCACAUUAAUCUCUGUAAUUCACUUAUGGAUCCUUUGAAAGCUAACACAAUACUCAUAUGUAAUGGUGUACUAAUAUACAUUACAAAGUGUAUGUACUGCUUAGAAAUAAAUAAUAAUAAAAAAACAGCAUCAAAA